CGACAGCAAACUCAAGUUUGGAUGGCUGCAUAUUGGCAAAGGAUAGCUCAGUAUUAUAAUGCAAGAGUCAAGACAAAGAUUUUUCGAUCAAGAGAUUUAGUCUUAAGAAAGGCAGAAAUCUCAAAACCCUUGGAUUAAGAAAAACUAUCUCCGAACUGGGAAAGAUCUUACAGAAUAUCCGAAACUCUUAGAUCGAACGCAUAUCG
rnacentral:lncRNA from 1 species